UUAAGUUCAGCGGGUAUUCCUACCUGAUCCGAGGUCAACCUUAAAAAAUUGGGGGUUUUACGGCUAGAAUCCCUCCGAAUCCCAGUGCGAGACGUUAGUUACUACGCAAAGGAGGCUCCGAGAGGGUCCGCCACUACCUUAAGGGCCUACGUUUAACCGUAGGGCCCCAACACCAAGCAGAGCUUGAGGGUUGAAAUGAC
rnacentral:misc_RNA from 1 species